AUUGAACGCUGGCGGCAGGCCUAACACAUGCAAGUCGAACGGUAACAGGAAACAGCUUGCUGUUUCGCCGACGAGUGGCGGACGGGUGAGUAAUGUCUGGGAAACUGCCUGAUGGAGGGGGAUAACUACUGGAAACGGUAGCUAAUACCGCAUAACGUCGCAAGACCAAAGAGGGGGACCUUCGGGCCUCUUGCCAUCAGAUGUGCCCAGAUGGGUUUAGCUAGUAGGUGGGGUAACGGCUCACCUAGGCGACGAUCCCUAGCUGGUCUGAGAGGAUGACCAGCCACACUGGAACUGAGACACGGUCCAGACUCCUACGGGAGGCAGCAGUGGGGAAUAUUGCACAAUGGGCGCAAGCCUGAUGCAGCCAUGCCGCGUGUAUGAAGAAGGCCUUCGGGUUGUAAAGUACUUUCAGCGGGGAGGAAGGUGCUGAGGUUAAUAACCUCAGCAAUUGACGUUACCCGCAGAAGAAGCACCGGCUAACUCCGUGCCAGCAGCCGCAGUAA
rnacentral:rRNA from 1 species